ACUGAGCAAAUCCCAGCGGGUAGAGCCUCUAUCAUCUGAGCAAGACGCCAAAGCUGAGUCCAGGGAGGGGACGGCUCGUAGCCAGUCGAGUGCCUGAUCCAGGAUGACGACACAGAGAAGAUGAAUGGAUCUGGAAGGCAUUGAGCUAAAUGAUACAAACUGUCAUAAGAGGACAAAUACCACACGAAGGACAGAAAGGUGAGCACAGACCACAGGGCACAUGCUCUGCAGACAUGUCUGAUGGCAGCCAAGCUUUCUCUACUUUUGCAUGAAUAGCUGGCAACCUCACCCUCCACAGUCUCUUCCAGAUGAAGGGCAUGUACAUUUGCCACACUGUUUCCUGCCCAGUAAGCCAGGAAAAAGCCCUGCCAAGGUACCAACUUCUGCCUUGCCUCCCUCCAUCACCAGUGGGCCAGGGGAUGUAAAUGCCUGGAGACAGCACUCCUGCUGCUAGGCAGGUGAUUUGCUGUAUGAGCCUUCCUGGUGCGACAGAGCAAUGGCAGCUCUCUGUUAUCCCACUGGUCAUGGGGUGAACAGCCAACACCCUAUGGGUGUGCUGUUGCUGAGCUACUGUCUGGAAGAUUGGAGGACUAAAGGAUACUUUAACUCAGGACAUCUUCAAGGC